CUGCCUUCUCCUUUAGGACACACCUGCUGUUCAUCUCCCCUUGUUUACCACCAAUUACCCUCCAGGGGUCCGUUCUUCGUACCUCGCUUACUACAUCCAAGAUCAAAUGACACAUCCAAGAUCAAAUCAUCGCGCUAACUUUGAGCUCGCUAAUCCGGUUCUCCGAACACACCUGUUGUUGACGAUUAGUAUAGCUGGAUGAAGUGAUCUGAGAUCACUGGGUGGCUUAAAAGGGGCUACGCAUCGAUAGUAGAAACAUUGAUCGGCAACCCUGUGAUUGGUCGGCGAAGAUGUCGAAGGAGCGCGCUCAGUAUUUUACGGCAGCAGAGCAAGAACUCUUGAUUGAGGGAUUUCAGGAGUUUCAGAGUUUAAUUAAAACGCAAGGGAACACUGCAAAGGCUGCAAAAGCAAGGAGAGAGGGCUGGCAGAAAGUUGCUGACAAAUUAAACUCGUAAGUAAUUUAUUAUAUUAUAUUACAUUAUAUCCUCUUUCACAUUAGAGGACCCACUAGAACAUGGGAACAAGUAAAAGUGAAAUAUAAGAAUAUUCCACAGAAUGGUAAUAUUUAUCACUUAUAUUGCUUUUAGUCUCCUGAAAAGAGACCCUGAAAUAAUCUGUUUGUUUGUUUAUAACAGCAACCAAGAAAAGGGCAGAGCAAAUAAAGACAGGUGGUGGUCCUGCACCCCCUCGUCACACCCCGGCAGAGGAGCUGGCCCUAGGGUUGAAUGCCACCAGACCCAUUGUUGAGGGCAUCCCUGGGGGCAGCUCUUCCUUAGACCAGCAGCCGGGGUGCAGUAGCAGCACCUUCAUAACUGUUUUACAUAACACUCCAUCACUUCUACCUGUUCCCAUGCAAGGGGUGACUGAAGCAUGCACAGACAUGGCUGCAACAGACUUCCCAAAUCCACCUUCGCUUUUAUAGCCGUGGUCUCUCAUCUUGAUUACACGAAGAAAUGACCUGUAUGUAUCUGUAUGAAAUCAAUAAAAG
ensembl:lncRNA